rnacentral:rRNA from 1 species
UACGAAGGGGGCUAGCGUUGCUCGGAAUUACUGGGCGUAAAGCGCACGUAGGCGGAUUGUUAAGUCGGGGGUGAAAUCCUGGAGCUCAACUCCAGAACUGCCUUCGAUACUGGCGAUCUCGAGUUCGGGAGAGGUGAGUGGAACUGCGAGUGUAGAGGUGAAAUUCGUAGAUAUUCGCAAGAACACCAGUGGCGAAGGCGGCUCACUGGCCCGGAUACUG